CUCAAGCCCUAAUCCAUUUGCUGUCCCUCAGGGCUCAGACGCAUCUCUUUUUCUCUUCCACCAGUACCCAACAAUGGAAGCUUCGAUUCUCCAGUCUCCAUCUCAACAACUAUGCUGCUUCGAUUUCUUCUCCGUCGAGUAAUCCAGAACAAAAAAACAAAGGAAGAGAGUUGAAAAGUCGAAGUCAAUCUUCUGAAAUCAUGAUGGAAGCAAGAACAAGCAAAAGCUUACAACAGAAACAAGCCAUUUAAGAUGUGUAAGCAAUCAUCUUAUUGUCAAAAGUACACAAUAACUUCUACUUUACUGCGCAUCUUUAGUUGAAUCAGAACAAGAAGGUUGGUUUAAACUCUAUAUAUGAUCGUAAUCUUACAAAUUUAUUCCAUUUUAGGUUUGAGCUUUCAACUUUGUUUGUAUUUGGUAUAAAGUAUUUGUGGUUGAUGAA